UACGAAGGGGGCUAGCGUUGCUCGGAAUCACUGGGCGUAAAGCGCACGUAGGCGGGUCUUUAAGUCAGGGGUGAAAUCCUGGAGCUCAACUCCAGAACUGCCUUUGAUACUGAGGAUCUUGAGUACGGGAGAGGUGAGUGGAACUGCGAGUGUAGAGGUGAAAUGCGCAGAUAUCGGGAGGAACACCAAUGGCGAAGGCAGCUCGCUGGGACGGUACUGACGCUGAGACGCGAAAGCGUGGGGAGCAAACAGG
rnacentral:rRNA from 1 species